rnacentral:rRNA from 1 species
GAUGAACGCUGGCGGCGUGCCUAAUACAUGCAAGUCGAGCGAACGGACGAGAAGCUUGCUUCUCUGAUGUUAGCGGCGGACGGGUGAGUAACACGUGGAUAACCUACCUAUAAGACUGGGAUAACUUCGGGAAACCGGAGCUAAUACCGGAUAUUAUUUUGAACCGCAUGGUUCAAAAGUGAAAGACGGUCUUGCUGUCACUUAUAGAUGGAUCCGCGCUGCAUUAGCUAGUUGGUAAGGUAACGGCUUACCAAGGCAACGAUGCAUAGCCGACCUGAGAGGGUGAUCGGCCACACUGGAACUGAGACACGGUCCAGACUCCUACGGGAGGCAGCAGUAGGGAAUCUUCCGCAAUGGGCGAAAGCCUGACGGAGCAACGCCGCGUGAGUGAUGAAGGUCUUCGGAUCGUAAAACUCUGUUAUUAGGGAAGAACAUAUGUGUAAGUAACUGUGCACAUCUUGACGGUACCUAAUCAGAAAGCCACGGCUAACUACAUG